CAGCCCGGUAAUUCCAGCUCCAAUAGCGUAUAUUAAAGUUGUUGCAGUUAAAAAGCUCGUAGUUGAACUUCGGGGUUUACCCAUUGGUCAGGCUUAAUUGUCUGUACUGGUGAGAUAAAUCUCUACCUUCUGAGGAACUUUCAUGUCAUUAAUUUGGUGUGAUUGGAAAUCAGGACUGUUACUUUGAAAAAAUUAGAGUGUUUAAAGCAGGCUAACGUCUGAAUACAUUAGCAUGGAAUAAUGAAAUAGGACGGACUGAUUCUAUUUCGUUGGUUUCUAGGAUCACCGUAAUGAUUAAUAGGGAUAGUUGGGGGCAUUAGUAUUCAAUUGUCAGAGGUGAAAUUCUUGGAUUUAUUGAAGACUAACUACUGCGAAAGCAUUUGCCAAGGAUGUUUUCAUUAAUCAAGAACGAAAGUUAGGGGAUCGAAGACGAUCAGAUACCGUCGUAGUCUUAACCAUAAACUAUGCCGACUAGGGAUCGGACGAAGUUAAUUUUAUAAUGACGCGUUCGGCACCUUACG
rnacentral:misc_RNA from 1 species